UCAGAGCGAAGUAACGGGCGCAGCGCACAAACAAAGAAGAAGCUGGCACAUUAAGGGGAAAGUGUUGCUUAACCCCCCCCCCCCAACAAUGAUCUUCCAAAGCAAAAUGAAAGGUUCAUGUCCAGAGUGAAUUUCAUGGUUUAAAAACUAAUGGAAACCAGGAGAUCUGGCUUUAAAAAUGGCUACUGAUUUGGGGACACACACACACACACACACACACACGCGCAUGCAUGAAGGAUCCCAAGAUUCAUUGUGGAAACCUAGGGUAGAACAAACGUUGCUUUGGGCCCUUCAGAACAAGGUGCUGUCCAUCUUUGGGCCACGCUCCCGUGUUAGGAUCUUCUUGGUCAGCCCCUUGCUCCCACUGAAGUCUAUGGAGCUCUGUGCUGGGUGAGGAUCUUCUAAUGUGGCUCCACUUACAGGAUCAGAGCCUGGAUGAGCUUUUCUCUACAAGCACAAGGCCCAGCAGGUUUUUUUCCUAAUGAAAGCUGAGUGUCUCAUGUAAUCACCUGACUCAAGGAGCUGGAGCUGUAAGGAAAAAAAGCAAAUAUGGUGAGAAUUGGCAACACUGUGUCACUUGUCUUACAUGUGUAGUCCCCCUGAAACCGAAGAGAUCUAUUCAUAGGAGCAAAGUCACUCAUGUAUCUAAGGAGUUGUAUGACCAGGACCUAACAAAUAUAAGGGUAUAGUCAUCCCAGGAAUAAACCCUUUUAUAAACUUUUCAUUUCAUGGGGGGAGAGGGGAGGAAAUAUCCUUAUUCUAAACAAAAUGUAUUUCUUCUGCUCCCUUUCUCCUUCCAUGUAUAAAAAGUACCUGUCUAGACAUAUGUGUUUGUCUUGUAAGCCCUACUCUUUUAAGUCAUUCCUGAAGUGUUUGAAUAAAUAUUAAGAAGGCUCAAGGCAAUAAAAGAACUUUAUGACUUU